CCUACGGGAGACAGCAGUGAGGAAUAUUGGUCAAUGGGCGCGAGCCUGAACCAGCCAAGUCGCGUGAGGGAGGACGGCCCUACGGGUUGUAAACCUCUUUUGCCGGGGAGCAACGGGCGUCACGUGUGGCGCCCCUGAGAGUACCCGGAGAAAAAGCAUCGGCUAACUCCGUGCCAGCAGCCGCGGUAAUACGGAGGAUGCGAGCGUUAUCCGGAUUUAUUGGGUUUAAAGGGUGCGUAGGCGGCUCGUCAAGUCAGGGGUCAAAUUGAGGGGCUCAACCCCUUCCCGCCAUUGAAACUGGCGCUCUUGAGUGGAAGAGAAGUAUGCGGAAUGCGUGGUGUAGCGGUGAAAUGCAUAGAUAUCACGCAGAACCCCGAUUGCGAAGGCAGCAUGCCGGCUUCCGACUGACGCUGAAGCACGAAAGCGUGGGGAUCGAACAGGAUUAGAUACCCGAGUAGUC
rnacentral:rRNA from 1 species